AUUGCGUCUGCGUGUUUUAGUUAGAAAAGAAACUGUCCACAAAACAUCCAAAUAACUAUAAAUGAACCGCAAUCCCGUGCUUCGUUAUCGCUCGGCAAAUCUACCCAUUUCGUUAGUCGGUUGGGUUGAGUGUUAUCGCAUAAUGUAUGUGCUAGUCAAAUGCUGGUGUGUGUGUGUAUGUGUGUGUGAUUUUGCCGGUUUCUCUCCGCCUGACUGAUCUGAGAUGUAGCGUUAGAUGAAACCAUGAGGAUGCAAUUGUGUCUGAGAUGAGGUAAUGGGCGAAACCUCAGAGAGAACUUCGGGCACAGUGUCGCAUAGCAUUAGCUAAAACGGAGUCUCGGCAAAAAGGAAGACGUUAACAGAGAUGCAUCUGUCUAUCUGAAUCUUGUUUAUAAGUAAAUUCGGGCACCGCUUAAGGAACACACGGGUGACGUGUCAUUUUAGUUCUAACUCCACGAAAUGAUCUAUAUACAGGCUCCUAGUUCACAGUCUGUUGCCUAGCAGAACAUCCAACCAGAGCCUCAAUCGAUGUUUACCCCUCAUUAGAAUAUUGAUAUUAUAUUACAUUUUAACAUUAGGCCCGUUCAGUGGUUAUUCUGCGUUGCCUAUAUGUGCUGAGAACACGGCGCAUUGGAAGUUACCUCGCUGAUGAAAGGACCAUACAGAGACCGCUGCGUUUUCUCGUCUAUUUUUUCACGUUUUACGUUCUUGCCGUCAAUACUAUCGCGUCGCCGUCUCAUCGGAAGAAUAUAGUACAAUAA